rnacentral:tRNA from 1 species
AACAGUCCACCGUGGGCUUUGAAAAACGCUUUCCUUGAUAAAAUUUAAGCGUUUUAUAAGAGGAUGCCGGGGAAGGUUUUCCGGUUUAUCCCGGAGGGCUUGUAGCUCAGUUGGUUAGAGCGCGCGCUUGAUAAGCGUGAGGUCGGAGGUUCAAGUCCUCCCAGGCCCACCAGUUUAUCCAUUACUUUCAUAAGUGCUUUUAAAAAAUAAGUACUUCUAAAAAGAUUGCUUCUAAAAAGCUUAUCAAAAUUGGCAGGCUUAUUGCUUUUGUGUGAGUAAUCCAAAGUUAAAGCAAAUUAAUGGCAAAAAAACAGUUCAAAUGCUAAAUACUAAGGAGUCAAAAUUCCUUGCAAAGUGAUUUUUACAGCGUCCAUUUGGUUGAUAUAAAUUCCAAAUGCUCAUAGACGUCAAUGCCUAUAUGAAACUAUCGGUUCAAUCAUAUCGCUUUGAGUUAUAUAGAUUUUGUAAUCCCUCUUUUGAUCGUUUUAAACGCUUUAUCCUGAUUUAGGGGCCGUAGCUCAGCUGGGAGAGCACCUGCUUUGCAAGCAGGGGGUCGUCGGUUCGAUCCCGUCCGGCUCCACCAUAAGGUCAUCAUCAUUGUUGUAAGAACAGUUUUGUAAAAGGUUUGCGAACCUUUUGCUUGUUCUAUUGAAAUUGUGAAGAGAAGAUAUAUUCAGACAUGUUCCUUUUGAAAGGUUUGUUCUGGAAGGUGAGGUUUUUCUGUGCAGAAAUGUUUCAGAAAAAGCUUUGUCAUCAGAAAGGGCUAUUGUCUAACAGCUUAGAUAAAAAACAAAUCUGAAAAAGAAAUCUUGUGUCGCAAGGGAAAGCUCAAAGCCCUUGCUUAUGAUG